UACAGAGGGUGCGAGCGUUAAUCGGAUUUACUGGGCGUAAAGCGCGCGUAGGUGGCUAAUUAAGUCAAAUGUGAAAUCCCCGAGCUUAACUUGGGAAUUGCGAUGGAAACUGGACGGCUAGAGUGCGGUAGAGGAUGGCGGAAUUCCCGGUGUAGCGGUGAAAUGCGUAGAGAUCGGGAGGAACAUCCGUGGCGAAGGCGGCCAUCUGGACCAGCACUGACACUGAGGCACGAAAGCGUGGGGAGCAAACAGG
rnacentral:rRNA from 1 species